AUUGAACGCUGGCGGCAUGCCUUACACAUGCAAGUCGAACGGCAGCACGGGUGCUUGCACCUGGUGGCGAGUGGCGAACGGGUGAGUAAUAUAUCGGAACGUACCUUAUUGUGGGGGAUAACGCAGCGAAAGCUGUGCUAAUACCGCAUAAUCCCUAAGGGGGAAAGCGGGGGACCGUAAGGCCUCGCGCAAUUAGAGCGGCCGAUACCUGAUUAGCUAGUUGGUGAGGUAAAGGCUCACCAAGGCAACGAUCAGUAGCUGGUCUGAGAGGACGAUCAGCCACACUGGGACUGAGACACGGCCCAGACUCCUACGGGAGGCAGCAGUGGGGAAUUUUGGACAAUGGGGGCAACCCUGAUCCAGCAAUGCCGCGUGAGUGAAGAAGGCCUUCGGGUUGUAAACUGCUUUGUACGGACGAAACGGUCUGGGCUAAUACCCCGGGCUAACUGACGGUACCGUAAGAAUAAGCACCGGCUAACUACGUG
rnacentral:rRNA from 1 species